rnacentral:rRNA from 1 species
UACAGAGGUCCCAAGCGUUGUUCGGAUUCACUGGGCGUAAAGGGUGCGUAGGUGGCAGGGUAAGUCUGAUGUGAAAUCUCCGAGCUUAACUCGGAAACUGCAUCGGAUACUGCCUUGCUCGAGGGUUGGAGGGGGGACUGGAAUACUUGGUGUAGCAGUGAAAUGCGUAGAUAUCAAGUGGAACACCAGUGGCGAAGGCGAGUCCCUGGACAACUCCUGACACUGAGGCACGAAAGCUAGGGGAGCAAACAGG